rnacentral:rRNA from 1 species
UACAGGGGGGUGCAAACGUUUGCUCGGAAUCAUUGGGCGUAAAGCGCACGUAGGCGGUUCGUUAUGUCGGAUGUGAAAGCCCUUGGCUUAACCGAGGAAGUGCAUCCGAAACUGGCGAGCUAGAGUACGAAAGAGGAUCGCGGAAUUCCCGGUGUAGAGGUGAAAUUCGUAGAUAUCGGGAGGAACACCGGGUGGCGAAGGCGGCGAUCUGGGUCGAUACUGACGCUGAGGUGCGAAAGCGUGGGGAGCAAACAGG